GUCUGGUUAAUUCCGAUAACGAACGAGAUUCUGAUCUGUUAAAUAGUUUACUUGUUUGGUAGCAAGUAUGAACUUCUUAGAGAGAUUAGCUGAUCUUAUUGGCAUGAAAAAGAGCAAUAACAGGUCUGUGAUUCCCUUAGAUGUCCGGGGCUGCACACGCGCUACAAUUGAUGUAACAACGAGUUCGAUUUGUUCGAAAGGACAGAAAAAACUGUUGAAAUACGUCAAUGACCGGGAUCGUGGACUGUAAUUGUUCACGUAAACGAGGAAUUCCUAGUAAGGGUACGUCAUCAGCGUGCUCUGAU
rnacentral:rRNA from 1 species